UCGAGAAUUUUUCUCAAUGGGCGCAAGCCUGAAGGAGCGACGCCGCGUGGGGGAUGAAGGGCUUCGGUCCGUAAACCCCUGUCAUCUGGGAACAAUUCCUAUGCGUGAAUAGCGCCUAGGUUGAUAGUACUGGAAGAGGAAGGGACGGCUAACUCUGUGCCAGCAGCCGCGGUAAUACAGAGGUCCCAAGCGUUGUUCGGAUUCACUGGGCGUAAAGGGUGCGUAGGUGGCUUGGAAAGUCUGAUGUGAAAUCUCGGAGCUCAACUCCGGAACGGCAUUGGAGACUACUGAGCUAGAGGAUCGGAGGGGAGACUGGAAUUCUUGGUGUAGCAGUGAAAUGCGUAGAUAUCAAGAGGAACACCAGUGGCGAAGGCGAGUCUCUGGACGAAACCUGACACUGAGGCACGAAAGCUAGGGGAGCAAACAGG
rnacentral:rRNA from 1 species